AGACAGAGUUUCGGCAAGUUGCCUAGGCUGAUCUCAGAACUCCUGGGCUCAAGCGAUCCUCCCGCCUUGGCCUCCCAAAGUGCUGGGAUUACAGGCAUGAGCCACCAUGCCCAGUCUACCACGCUUCUUAAACCAGGUCCCUCUCAAGCCCAGAUGGUAACUAAUUACAAGCAGAUGACAUGACCUAAUAUUUGAUAUUUCUUAUGGUGUGCUUAAAUGUUCUAUUAAUUUUUAAAAGGCCAUUCCAUAUUUACAAAUAAAAGUUAUUUAAAACGCAAACACAUUUUUAAAAAAUCAUACUUUUAUGGCUAACGAAUCAACAUACAAGAGCAUUUCAGCUUACUCUGCCUAGCUAUAAUCACAUUCCCUGCACCCUUAAAAGCUGCAGAUCAACUAGGUUAUAUGAGGUUGUUGUCCUGGUCCUUAAGCACCCCCAUGAGUCAGUCGACACUAAAGAAGACAGUCCUUUUGCGGGGCACAGAGCCGCUGACCUCGGCUUGAGAAGGGUCUGGGAAGGUGCAGCAGGGCAGACAUCUGCCCCAGUCUCCAAUGUGGUGACCCCAUAUCCCAGGGAAGCUUAGGAAUUCUCAAAAAGUCAACUGUCACUAGCUUGGUAGCUCCCAGUUCAGCAACCAACACAAAACCCAGCACUGAAGUGCUAAAGAAUCACGAAGAACAGUAGGGCAGCAUUUGUGACAAAGCCGGGCAGACAGAACGACACAGCUGGUUCUCAGUCUAGCUCCAACGUGCCCGCCUGGGGAACAACAGUCCCGCCUCACACUUACUUGUCAGUAAACCACACAGCUAACUGAAUUUUCCCAGCUAAAGAGAGCUCCCUGAGAUGAGUGAAUAUCCCCAGAUACCUUCAGCCUAGUAAAUAUUCAGUUUGCCAAAUUAAAGACUAGAUUUACAUCUUGGAGGAGACCAUAUUUAUAUAUGAGAAUAUAAAUCAUCUGUUACUUCUCCAAAAUGUAUCCUGACUAGCUCCUACUUUUCUACAUUUUCCAGUUCUUUUAUUUCCAUCAUCUGUUCCUCUAAGAUUGUUCUCCUUUUUGUGAGACAGGGUCUCACUCUGUCACGAGGCUGGAGUGCAGUGGCACAAUCAUGGCUCACUACAGUCUCAACCUCCUGGGCUCAGGUGAUCCUCCUAGCUCAGCCUCCUGAGUAGCUGGGACCACAGGUGUGCGUGUGCCAACACACCCAGCUAAUUUUUGUAUUUUUUGUAGCAACAGGGUUUCACCACGUUGCCCAGGCUGGUCUCGAAUUCCUGGGCUGAGGUGAUCCGCCCGCCUCGGCCUUUUCGGCCUCUCAGAGUGCUGGGAUUAUAGGUGUGAGCCACCGCGCCCAGCCUCUUCUCCAUUCUUGUGGGUAUUCCUGUUCAUCUGUUUCCCUGAAUUAAUGUCAAUUAUCACUAUUUCCUAAGUGUCACAUUCUUGUUCCUUUUUCUUGACUAGCAUGGUUUACUAGAAACAGAAAUAACAGCAAAAAUAUUUAGGUCUUAUAUAAACAAAUAUAGUCAUCUCGUCUGUGCUUUCAAAGUUAAAUUUAUUAUGCACAGUAAUGGGUACCAUGGAGACAGGGAAAGGGCUAGAAAGUGGC
rnacentral:lncRNA from 1 species